GGAAAAGCAGUAAAUGGAACCUCUGAAAACUAAUUGUUUUGCUUCUGUGUGACUCGAGAAAGAAAAAAGCUUUAAGAAUCACAUUCACUUGGAGGAAUUUAAAUUUCUCUCUGAGAAGUUUAUAGAGGGACUGUACUAAAGAAAUGAAUUCCUUUACUGCAAAAAAUCAUGACUAUUUAUUGAUUCAGAAAGAAAACAGACUGAAAUUCUGGGUCUUCUGAAUAACAUGUGUUUUAUGCUGUUCAUCACCAGAAGUAAUCCUUUUAACAAGAAACUCUUCCCUAGACUUUGAAGAUCAGAUGUGCUUCAGUAAGAAAUGACACUACAGUGAACUAGACAGACUACUGGUCUGUUCUGGAGUGGCAGUAAUCCAGUAAAUUCCAGAAGAGUUUCAAGAGGCUCAUCAUUGUCUUGCAGUGUUUCUCCAUCUCUCUAAGA